rnacentral:rRNA from 1 species
UACAGGGGGGGCAAGCGUUGUUCGGAAUUACUGGGCGUAAAAGGCUCGUAGGUGGCCAACUAAGUCAGACGUGAAAUCCCUCAGCUUAACUGGGGAACUGCGUCUGAUACUGGAUGGCUUGAGUUUGGGAGAGGGAUGCGGAAUUCCAGGUGUAGCGGUGAAAUGCGUAGAUAUCUGGAGGAACACCGGUGGCGAAGGCGGCAUCCUGGACCAAUACUGACACUGAGGAGCGAAAGCCAGGGGAGCAAACGGG